UACGUAGGGUGCGAGCGUUAAUCGGAAUUACUGGGCGUAAAGCGUGCGCAGGCGGUUCGUUGUGUCGGCGGUGAAAGCCCCGGGCUUAACCUGGGAAUGGCCGUUGAAACUGGCGAACUGGAGUGUGGCAGUGGGGGGUGGAAUUCCGCGUGUAGCAGUGAAAUGCGUAGAGAUGCGGAGGAACACCGAUGGCGAAGGCAGCCCCCUGGGCUGACACUGACGCUCAGGCACGAAAGCGUGGGGAGCAAACAGG
rnacentral:rRNA from 1 species